GCUAACUCCGUGCCAGCAGCCGCGGUAAUACGGAGGAUGCGAGCGUUAUCCGGAUUUAUUGGGUUUAAAGGGUGCGUAGGCGGAUCAAUAAGUCAGUGGUGAAAUUCUGCAGCUUAACUGUAGACUUGCCAUUGAUACUGUUGGUCUUGAGUAUGGUCAAGGUAGGCGGAAUGUGUAAUGUAGCGGUGAAAUGCUUAGAUAUUACACAGAACACCGAUUGCGAAGGCAGCUUGCUGGGCCAAUACUGACGCUGAUGCACGAAAGCGUGGGGAUCGAACAGGAUUAGAUACCCCGGUAGUC
rnacentral:rRNA from 1 species